rfam:Erinaceus europaeus unplaced genomic scaffold scaffold00051, whole genome shotgun sequence
GGAUGCGAGGGCAGUUUGGCUGUGACAUCUGUCAUCCCAUUUAUUGCCAGGGUUGAUUCUGCUGAUCUGGCUGGCUAGAUAGGUGUCCCCUUCCUGCCUCACUGCUCCAUGUGCGUCCCUUCCGAAGCUGGGCACUGCUCGAAGAGGACAGCCUUCCCCCAAUAGAGAUGGAUAGGUCUUUGGUUGAGGGUAUACGAGUAGCUGCGCUCCCCUGCUACAACCUCCAAACAAGCUCUCAAGGUCCAGAAUGGAGACCCCAGAUCUCAUCUGCAAUAUUCUUGCCUUUAGGUUCAUAAUGAGUCAACAAUUUGCUCUGCUUUAUAU